CAGCAGCCGCGGUAACACGUAGGGCGCAAGCGUUGUCCGGAAUUAUUGGGCGUAAAGAGCUCGUAGGCGGUCUGUCGCGUCUGGUGUGAAAUCCCGAGGCUCAACCUCGGGCUUGCAUCGGGUACGGGCAGACUAGAGUGCGGUAGGGGAGACUGGAAUUCCUGGUGUAGCGGUGGAAUGCGCAGAUAUCAGGAGGAACACCGAUGGCGAAGGCAGGUCUCUGGGCCGCAACUGACGCUGAGGAGCGAAAGCAUGGGGAGCGAACAGGAUUAGAUACCCCAGUAGUCCCUGUCUCUUAUAC
rnacentral:rRNA from 1 species